AGGGUUUGAUUAUGGCUCAGAACGUACGCUGGCGGCACGCCUAACACAUGCAAGUCGAACGAAGUAGCAAUACUUAGUGGCAGACGGGUGAGUAACAUGUAGGUAUCUACCCUUUGGCCUGGAAUAACACGAGGAAACUUGUGCUAAUACCGGAUAAGUCUUUACGGAGAAAGCUUUAUGCACCAUUGGAUGAGCCUGCACUUGAUUAGUUUGUUGGUGGGGUAAUGGCCUACCAAGACUUUGAUCAAUAGCUGAUUUGAGAGGAUGAUCAGCCACAUUGGGACUGAGACACGGCCCAAACUCCUACGGGAGGCAGCAGUGGGGAAUCUUGCACAAUGGAGGAAACUCUGAUGCAGCGAUGCCGCGUGAGUGAAGAAGGCCUUUGGGUUGUAAAGCUCUUUCGUCGGGGAAGAAAAUGACUGUACCCGAAUAAGAAGGUCCGGCUAACUUCGUGCCAGCCGCCGCGGUAAUAC
rnacentral:rRNA from 1 species